rnacentral:misc_RNA from 1 species
AACGCAUAUUGCGCUCGAGCCCUCGGGCAAGAGCAUGUCUGCCUCAGCGUCGGUUUACACCCUCACCCCUCCCAACUUGUUGGGUGCGUUUGCUCUGUUUGCAAAGCUAGGGGUGGAUCUGGCUUCCCCAAGCAGCCAUCAGGCAGAUUGGGUUGGCUGAAGUGCAGAGGCUUAAGCAAGGACCCAAUAUGGGCUUCAACUGGAUAGGUAGCACCGGCUUCUGCCGACUACACGAAGUUGUUGCUUGUGGAUCUUGCUAGAAGCCAAGUAGGAAUGUGCCUUUGGCAUACCUAAACUUUCGACCUGAGCUCAGGCAAGAUUACCCGCUGAACUUAA